rnacentral:rRNA from 1 species
AUGCUACCUACUUGGAAGGCGCAUCUCAUGAACAAGGCCGGCCGCCUCGCGUUAGUCAAGGCCAUCCUGAGCGAGAUCCCGAUCCACCAGCUCCUCGCUCUAGCGCCCCCAACAAGACCAUCAAGGCACUCGAGAAGAUUCAGCGAGGCUUCUUGUGGGCCGGGCACGCGGAAGCAAAUGGCAGGCACUGCCAUGUUUAUUGGCAACGCGUUGCUAGGCCGCUCUCGCUUGGCGGCCUCGGCGUGCGCGAUCUUGCCUGGACCAGCCUCGUGCUCCGCACCCGAUGGCUGUGGUUCAGCCGCACGGACAACACCAGAGCGUGGGCUGGCCUCGACCUGCAGUUCACCGCUGAGGAGCAUGCAUUCUUCUUCGCAUCCACCACCAUGCAAAUCGGGAAUGGCAUGCAGGCCUUCUUCUGGGAAGACCGAUGGAUCGAUGGGCGCUCCGUUGGCGAGAUCGCUCCGCUCCUAUAUGCAUGCAUUCCCAAGCGCCGUUGCAAGCUCAGGACCGUCGCCCAUGGAUUAUAGGCCAAUUGAUGGGCGCGGGACAUACAUGGCACGAUUGGCAUCCAUGAGAUCGGGCAAUACUUACAGCUCUGGCACACAAUCAGCCGCACGACCCUCUCUGCCGAGCCAGACCGCCUCUCCUGAAAGUGGAACCCCCGCGACGUCUACUCCACCAAAUCGGCCUACAUCGCCACCUUCAAUGGCUCCACGGGCUGCGUCCCAUGGAAGCGCACCUGGAAGAACUGGGCGCCCCCGCGCGUCCGAUUCUUCCAUUGGCUCGCCCACCUGGACCGGUGUUGGACGGCCGACCGCCUCGCCCGCCGCGGCCUACAGCACCCCGUGCGAUGCCCCCUCUGUGACCAGGACCCUGAGACCAUACACCACCUCAUCCUCGCUUGCCCCUUCGCCCAGCAGAUCUGGUACGAGGUGCUGCACUGGCUCCGACUCUCCUGUGCCCCGCCCGACAGCGAGACUUCUCUCAAUGACUGGUGGCACACGGCGCGGCAGCACACUCCCAAACCCAUGCGCAAGGGCCUCGCCUCCGCGACCCUCCUCGUCCCAGGGAUGA